AUUUAGACUAUUGUUUGC
rnacentral:tRNA from 1 species